UGUGUGUGUGUGUGUGUGUGUGUGUUUGUGUGUGUGUGUGUGUGUGUGUGUGUGUGUGUGUGUGUGUGUGUGUGUGUGUGUGUGUGUGUGUGUGUGUGUGUGUGUGUGUGUGUGUGUGUGUGUGUGUGUGUGUGUGUGUGUGUGUGUGUGUGUGUGUGUGUGUGUGUGUGUGUGUGAGUUUGUAAAACCUACCAACCGGGGAAAAUCGUAUGAAUACACACCAACAAACCGGGGAACACCUACCAACCGGGGAAUUCCCCGGUUGGUUUUAGGCGAAAAUCUCUAAUCUACGUGUAUGAAAUACCAAACUGUCAAUUUAAAUUAGAAUUCCAACGCCUUCCCCGAUUAGCGGGUUUGUGGCAUGCACAAACUAUACACAAAUCUUGACCAAAUUACAAUCGAGUGUGUAUCCAGGCUAAUAACAGUUCCCCGGUUGCGCUGUUUAAAAAUCAUACACUCGGUAUUUAUAUCAUUUAGUGAAAGUAUGUUGGAAAAAUGGAGUUUCGAGCGAACAAACGCAUUAAACUAAGUAGCCAAAAGGGGCCAAGUCCCCUUGAUCUCGCAAGAACGUACUGCCAGAAUUACGUUGAUCCACCAGGUUUUGAAGUAAAAACCGUAGAUGAUGUCAUAGGCGAAGGAGUAUUUGCCACUAAGCCUUUUUAAAAAGGAGACUUUCUUCUCGAAUACAAAGGAGAUAUGAUAACACGAGUAAAGCAUGCACGGCAAUUAGAAAAGGAGUAUGAAAAAGAGGGUCAAGGCAGCUUCAUGUACUUUUUAAAUACAGAGACAAAUCUUGCUGCAUUGACGCUACCAACGAUAUAUUUCAUGAGGGUCGAAUGAUAAAUGAUGCCGAAAAUGGAGACGCAAAACAAAAUUGUGUAAUGAAAAUAGUUGAAGUCAACCAAACUCCCCAUCUAUGCACUAUCGCCGACAGAGACAUUGCAAUUGGCGAGGAACUCCGAUAUGAUUAUGGAGUACCAACACUUCCAUGGAGAAAGAAAUGCACGGAGCAAAAAAUGGGCAACACAAUGACUACUAGAUCUACGGACAGCCAGGAACCAGGACAAACAACAUCCAUACACACGGAAGAAGUCAAUGAGACGGCAACACAAUGACUACUAGAUCUACGGACAGCCAGGAACCAGGGAAAACAACAUCCGUACACACGGAAGAAGUCGAUGAGACGUAUAAGACUUAUACGCUGCCACAAAUUGACAAAUGACGAUGGAGAAUAAGAUGGAUGUUUAACAAAACUGGAAAAAGACCUGUGCCGUUAUUUUUACCGUACAGAGAUUAUUGCAAAACGAGGUCGAAUAUCUGCAGUACUGUUUCCAAGGCAGGUGAAAGAAAAUAUCGACCUCCUGAUACGCAGCAGAAAUUCUCUAACAAACUGUUUCAAAAGUAAAUAUCUUUUCGCAACAAAAUCUGCAUCAUCGCAUAUUCGUGGGACAGAUGUAUUACGUUCGAUUGCAAUUGACUGUGGAGCUGAACAUCCGGAAAGGCUUCGUUCUACAAAGUUAAGGAAACAUAUUGCCACAAUGACUCAGCUUUUUAACUUGUCUGAAAAUGAAUUAGACAUUCUAGCUAAAUUUCUUGGUCACGACAUUCGGGUACAUAGAGAAUUCUACAGAUUACCAGAUGGAACCAUGCAGGUUGCCAAAGUCAGCAAGCUGCUCAUGAUGAUGGAAAGUGGACAAAUUACCAUAAAUUCUGUCAAUUCGCUAGACGAUAUUGAUGUUGACGACGAAUGUAUUGAAGAUGAACAAUAUUCUUCUGAAUCAUCAGAAAAUGAAAAUACUGAAGACCUUGAAACUCUUCUUCCCAGCACCAGUCAACCAGAAAUAACAGACAAAGAAAAGGGUACUUCAAAUACCAGGAGAACAAAACAAGCAGCCAAAAAGCAAUGGAGUGAAAACGAAAAAGGAGCUGUUCACAGACACGUUGAUCGUUUUUUUGAUAAUGGGUAAAUUACCAGGGAAAAAAGAAAUACUUGCGUGUAUUGAAAGUGAGAAUGACCUUCACAACAGAAGUUGGAAAAAUGUCAAAGACGUUUGCAGAAAUUUAAUUGAAACAAAAAAGCGACGAGGACUUUUAACUCAAAAAAAUAUUACACAUAUAAUGCACGUUUAGGAGAAUACGUUAAAGGAUGAAGUUGCCACAUGUGUUUUGUGUGUUUUCUUGUUCUAUAUACUCUUUUCGAAAACGAUAUAUGUGUGCUUAUUGUAUUUGAAUGUUUUAUUAAUACGGUUCAGUCAAAAACGAUAUUUGUUCAUAAUCAUAUCGCCGAACAAAUUAGGAUUGGUAUAUAGUUCGGCCAAAGAGUGUUUCUUUGUACUUUCUAUUACGAGUUUCUACGAGUUACUCACUAUACAAGUUAUUUUUUACCCUAAACUUGGUGAAUAUGAAUGAAUAUAGCAAACAUGAUAGCAAAUCAAUCUAGAAGGCUAAACGUUCAGAG